rnacentral:rRNA from 1 species
AUGAGCGAAUGGGUUACCUUACUCUCCGACGAUGUAGUAAUCUGUACAUAUCUAUCUGCCCUGAAGCUGCAUGCCAUUAAACAGUACAACUUCAGCGCAGAAUUGAUUUGCAGAGCUUGGAAAUUUCAUGGUAUGACAACCCGAAGCCAAUGUAGAGGAAGCCUGGAGCUCCUGCAUAGAUCUGGCUCCACCUCCUCCCUCUCUCCAUCACCACCAACCUCCGACAGUCAAAUCCCGUGCAGAGCCGCCCCGGCGAGAUCUGUUUCUCCCGGAGUCAAGUGUCGCGCUCACGAGUUGGGGGACCUCGUGGAGGCAGGUAGUGGUCUACGCGGUGGGGGGCCACGGCGGCGGGGUGGUUCCUCCAGGGCUCCAGCGCUGGUGCAUGCUUGCAGCGGAGAGGUACGGUGGAUGCGGUGGUCGGUGGUGCACGGAGCUGCUGCUCUCAUGUACGCUUGGGCCCAGAUCUGGCCAGGCCAGUUCGGCAGCGGCGGCUGCUCGCGCACGCAUGGUGGCCUGCUGCGGCCAUCAUGGGCUGGGGACUCGCGGUGUGGAUGGCUUGUGGUGGCACUAGUAUGUUCCUCAAAACAAUUGGCGGCGGUGGCGGCAGCGUCAUAG